ensembl:rRNA 5S_rRNA 5S ribosomal RNA
CACUACGGCCAUACCACCCUGAACGCACAGGAUCUCCUCUGAUCUCAGAAGCUAAGUAGGGUCAGGCCUGGUUAGUACUUGGAUGGGAGAACACCACUUCCAUGGUGG